AUAAUGGGUCAGCGACUUAUAUUCUGUAGCAAGGUUAACCGAAUAGGGGAGCCGAAGGGAAACCGAGUCUUAACUGGGCGUUAAGUUGCAGGGUAUAGACCCGAAACCCGGUGAUCUAGCCAUGGGCAGGUUGAAGGUUGGGUAACACUAACUGGAGGACCGAACCGACUAAUGUUGAAAAAUUAGCGGAUGACUUGUGGCUGGGGGUGAAAGGCCAAUCAAACCGGGAGAUAGCUGGUUCUCCCCGAAAGCUAUUUAGGUAGCGCCUCGUGAAUUCAUCUCCGGGGGUAGAGCACUGUUUCGGCAAGGGGGUCAUCCCGACUUACCAACCCGAUGCAAACUGCGAAUACCGGAGAAUGUUAUCACGGGAGACACACGGCGGGUGCUAACGUCCGUCGUGAAGAGGGAAACAACCCAGACCGCCAGCUAAGGUCCCAAAGUCAUGGUUAAGUGGGAAACGAUGUGGGAAGGCCCAGACAGCCAGGAUGUUGGCUUAGAAGCAGCCAUCAUUUAAAGAAAGCGUAAUAGCUCACUGGUCGAGUCGGCCUGCGCGGAAGAUGUAACGGGGCUAAACCAUGCACCGAAGCUGCGGCAGCGACGCUGAUGCGUUGUUGGGUAGGGGAGCGUUCUGUAAGCCUGUGAAGGUGUGCUGUGAGGCAUGCUGGAGGUAUCAGAAGUGCGAAUGCUGACAUAAGUAACGAUAAAGCGGGUGAAAAGCCCGCUCGCCGGAAGACCAAGGGUUCCUGUCCAACGUUAAUCGGGGCAGGGUGAGUCGACCCCUAAGGCGAGGCCGAAAGGCGUAGUUGAUGGGAAACAGGUUAAUAUUCCUGUACUUGGUGUUACUGCGAAGGGGGGACGGAGAAGGCUAUGUUGGCCGGGCGACGGUUGUCCCGGUUUAAGCGUGUAGGCUGGUUUUCCAGGCAAAUCCGGAAAACUAAGGCUGAGGCGUGAUGACGAGGCACUACGGUGCUGAAGCAACAAAUGCCCUGCUUCCAGGAAAAGCCUCUAAGCAUCAGGUAACAUCAAAUCGUACCCCAAACCGACACAGGUGGUCAGGUAGAGAAUACCAAGGCGCUUGAGAGAACUCGGGUGAAGGAACUAGGCAAAAUGGUGCCGUAACUUCGGGAGAAGGCACGCUGAUAUGUAGGUGAAGUCCCUCGCGGAUGGAGCUGAAAUCAGUCGAAGAUACCAGCUGGCUGCAACUGUUUAUUAAAAACACAGCACUGUGCAAACACGAAAGUGGACGUAUACGGUGUGACGCCUGCCCGGUGCCGGAAGGUUAAUUGAUGGGGUCAGCGCAAGCGAAGCUCUUGAUCGAAGCCCCGGUAAACGGCGGCCGUAACUAUAACGGUCCUAAGGUAGCGAAAUUCCUUGUCGGGUAAGUUCCGACCUGCACGAAUGGCGUAAUGAUGGCCAGGCUGUCUCCACCCGAGACUCAGUGAAAUUGAACUCGCUGUGAAGAUGCAGUGUACCCGCGGCAAGACGGAAAGACCCCGUGAACCUUUACUAUAGCUUGACACUGAACAUUGAGCCUUGAUGUGUAGGAUAGGUGGGAGGCUUUGAAGUGUGGACGCCAGUCUGCAUGGAGCCGACCUUGAAAUACCACCCUUUAAUGUUUGAUGUUCUAACGUUGACCCGUAAUCCGGGUUGCGGACAGUGUCUGGUGGGUAGUUUGACUGGGGCGGUCUCCUCCUAAAGAGUAACGGAGGAGCACGAAGGUUGGCUAAUCCUGGUCGGACAUCAGGAGGUUAGUGCAAUGGCAUAAGCCAGCUUGACUGCGAGCGUGACGGCGCGAGCAGGUGCGAAAGCAGGUCAUAGUGAUCCGGUGGUUCUGAAUGGAAGGGCCAUCGCUCAACGGAUAAAAGGUACUCCGGGGAUAACAGGCUGAUACCGCCCAAGAGUUCAUAUCGACGGCGGUGUUUGGCACCUCGAUGUCGGCUCAUCACAUCCUGGGGCUGAAGUAGGUCCCAAGGGUAUGGCUGUUCGCCAUUUAAAGUGGUACGCGAGCUGGGUUUAGAACGUCGUGAGACAGUUCGGUCCCUAUCUGCCGUGGGCGCUGGAGAACUGAGGGGGGCUGCUCCUAGUACGAGAGGACCGGAGUGGACGCAUCACUGGUGUUCGGGUUGUCAUGCCAAUGGCACUGCCCGGUAGCUAAAUGCGGAAGAGAUAAGUGCUGAAAGCAUCUAAGCACGAAACUUGCCCCGAGAUGAGUUCUCCCUGACUCCUUGAGAGUCCUGAAGGAACGUUGAAG
rnacentral:rRNA from 1 species